CGGGAAAAAGUAUAAGUAGCUGUACAGCGGGUUUGGGACUUGCUAGUCCUUGGAUCAAGGUUUCCCGU
rnacentral:tRNA from 1 species